UGCAAGUCGAACGGUGAAGCCCUUCGGGGUGGAUCAGUGGCGAACGGGUGAGUAACACGUGGGCAAUCUGCCCUGCACUCUGGGACAAGCCCUGGAAACGGGGUCUAAUACCGGAUAUGACCUUCCUCCGCAUGGGGGUUGGUGGAAAGCUCCGGCGGUGCAGGAUGAGCCCGCGGCCUAUCAGCUUGUUGGUGGGGUAAUGGCCUACCAAGGCGACGACGGGUAGCCGGCCUGAGAGGGCGACCGGCCACACUGGGACUGAGACACGGCCCAGACUCCUACGGGAGGCAGCAGUGGGGAAUAUUGCACAAUGGGCGAAAGCCUGAUGCAGCGACGCCGCGUGAGGGAUGACGGCCUUCGGGUUGUAAACCUCUUUCAGCAGGGAAGAAGCGCAAGUGACGGUACCUGCAGAAGAAGCACCGGCUAACUACGUGCCAGCAGCCGCGGUAAUACGUAGGGUGCGAGCGUUGUCCGGAAUUAUUGGGCGUAAAGAGCUCGUAGGCGGCCUGUCGCGUCGGAUGUGAAAGCCCGGGGCUUAACCCCGGGUCUGCAUUCGAUACGGGCAGGCUAGAGUGUGGUAGGGGAGAUCGGAAUUCCUGGUGUAGCGGUGAAAUGCGCAGAUAUCAGG
rnacentral:rRNA from 1 species